rnacentral:rRNA from 1 species
UACGAAGGGGGCUAGCGUUGUUCGGAAUUACUGGGCGUAAAGCGCGCGUAGGCGGAUUUGCCAGUCAGGGGUGAAAUGCCAGGGCUUAACCUUGGAACUGCCUUUGAUACUGCAAGUCUGGAGUACGGGAGAGGUGAGUGGAAUUCCGAGUGUAGAGGUGAAAUUCGUAGAUAUUCGCAAGAACACCAGUGGCGAAGGCGGCUUACUGGUCCGGUUCUGACGCUGAGGCGCGAAAGCGUGGGGAGCAAACAGG